ACUAUACUAAAGUAAAUAAAAGCUUCUACACUAGAUGCCUAUUUGACAGUGCUAUAGCUAAAUUUAAGGAAGAUAUUUUAACAGCAUUCAAUUUAAUUCCGUUCCUUAAUAUAACAGAGGACCUUUAUGUUAACUUUAGUCCCUCCCAAAUUGAUAAAUUUGAAGAGGGUGCUACGACCUGCCUACAGACGACUUUAGACUCUGUUGCUGCUCUCAAACAGAAGAUAAGGAAGCUAAGGAAACUAGCACCUUGGUAUAACUCCCAAACUCGAAAAUUAAAACAAAUCUCACAAAAACUUGACAGUAAAU